GAUGAAGAACGCAGCUAAAUGCGAUACGUAAUGUGAAUUGCAGAAUUCAGUGAAUCAUCGAGUCUUUGAACGCACAUUGCGCCCCCUGGUAUUCCGGGGGGCAUGCCUGUCCGAGCGUCAUUGCUGCCCUCAAGCACGGCUUGUGUGUUGGGCCUCCGUCCUCCUCCCGGGGGACGGGCCCGAAAGGCAGCGGCGGCACCGCGUCCGGUCCUCGAGCGUAUGGGGCUUCGUCACCCGCUCUUGUAGGCCCGGCCGGCGCUUGCCGACACAUCAAUCUUUUUUCCAGGUUGACCUCGGAUCAGGUAGGGAUACCCGCUGAACUUAAGCAUAUCAAUAAGCGGAGGA
rnacentral:misc_RNA from 1 species